UACGUAGGGGGCAAGCGUUGUCCGGAGUUACUGGGCGUAAAGCGCACGCAGGCGGUCGAUUAAAGUUUGGAGUGACAGUUGGUGGCUUAACUGCCAAAGUGCUUCGAAAACUGAUCGACUUGAGGGCUUCAGAGGGACACGGAAUUCCGGGGUGGGAGUGGUGAAAUGCGUAGAUAUCGGGAGGAACACCUGUGGCGAAAAGCGGCUCACUGGACCACAACGUGACGC
rnacentral:rRNA from 1 species